rnacentral:rRNA from 1 species
UACAGAGGUCCCAAGCGUUGUUCGGAUUCAUUGGGCGUAAAGGGUGCGUAGGCGGCGCGGUAAGUCGGGUGUGAAAUCUCGGAGCUUAACUCCGAACUGCAUUCGAUACUGCCGUGCUUGAGGACUGGAGAGGAGACUGGAAUUUACGGUGUAGCGGUGAAAUGCGUAGAUAUCGUAAGGAAGACCAGUGGCGAAGGCGGGUCUCUGGACCACUACUGACGCUGAGGCGCGAAAGCUAGGGGAGCAAACAGG